UGGCUCAGAACGAACGCUGGCGGCGUGCCUAACACAUGCAAGUCGAACGGUGUUAAUUGAGAAGCUUGCUUUUUGGUUAACAUAGUGGCGGACGGGUGAGUAACGCGUGAGGACUUGUCGAGUACAGGGGGACAACAGUUGGAAACGACUGCUAAUACCCCAUAAGCCUUCGGGUAAAAGGAGCGAUCCGGUACUUGAGAGACUCGCGUUCUAUCAGCUAGUAGGUGGUGUAAAGGCCUACCUAGGCAAAGACGGAUAGCCGGACUGAGAGGUCGACCGGCCAC
rnacentral:rRNA from 1 species